rnacentral:rRNA from 1 species
AUGCCAAUCUUCCUGCUGACGGCUUUAAAGGCUGACAAAGGCAUCCUCAGGGCCUUUGCGAAGAUCAGUCGUGGCAUGCUCUGGGCCUGUAAGGAGGAGGUUAGUGGAGGGAAAUGCAAAGUCAACUGGCAAAAGGUCUGCCGCCCCAAGGAGCUCGGUGGUUUGGGGGUUCUUGACCUGGAGAGGUUCUCCCGGGCCCUGAGGCUUCGCUGGUUAUGGUAUGAGUGGAAGGCUCCUGAGAAGCCAUGGGUGGGCUCUGAAACACCCAACGACGCCUCCGACCUUGACCUCUUCAAUGCAGCUACUCGCGUCACCAUCGGAAACGGCGCCAAGGCCUCCUUCUGGUCGUCUUCAUGG